AAUCUUAAAUUUAUUUUUUAAGGAAAAAAUAAACUAUUUUAUAAAAUAAACACUGUAAAGGUUUCAAAAUUAGAAAUUAGAAUUUUACCUUUUGUAUCAGGGAAAUUAGAAAUAAAUAAUUAUUAUUUUCUUCUCGAAAAUUUAAGAGCUUUGAAAAAAGAAACUUUAAUAACAUUAAAGUUAUAAUUUUUUAAAGAGAUCAAAUUUUAACCAAUUAAAUUGUAACUAGUUUUCUGUUUCAAAAAUUUAAUUUUUAUUUAUUUUUUUAAUUUAAAAAUAAAACUAUUUUUUAAGGAAAAAGCCUUAAAAAUUUUUCAAACACCUAUUUAAUUAUUUUAGAGUUAUUUCUCUUAUAUUUUGUUUAUAUUUUAGAAAAAUGAAAAUUUAAGUAGAAUAAUUUAACUUUUUAUUCUCAAAUAAUUAGUUUAUUAGUAAACUAGAAUACUAUUUUUAUAGUAAAUCUUUAUAAAAUCGGUUUUUUUCAAAUCUAAUAACUCGGCAAAUUUCAAAGAUGAAUGUUUAACAAAAACAUUUCUAUUUUUUUAAAAUAGUAGGCCCUGCUCAGUGUUUAUAAACAGCCGCAGUAUCUUGACUGUGCUAAGGUAGCAUAAUAGAUUGUCUUAUAAUUGAAGACUGGAAUAAAUGGGUUGACGAUCUUUUUUCUUUUUUAAUUUGAGAGCUAAAUUUUAUAUUUAAGUUAAAAAGCUUAAUUUUUCUAGGAAGACGAUAAGACCCUGUAAAACUUUACUUUCAAAUAAAACUAAAUAAAAUUUUUAUAAAGAAGAGUUAAGCUGGGGCGGCAUUUAAAAAACAUUAAAAGAAAUAACUUUUUAGAAAGGAAAGAUCUUAAACACAGAUAGAAUAAGUUACUUCAGGGAUAACAGCACAAUAUUUUUAUUGAGACCAGAUCAGUAUAAAAGACAUGUGACCUCGAUGUUGAAUUGAGAAAUCUAAGCUAAGCAGCAAGAGCUUAAGAAGGACUGUUCGUCCUUUAAAUACUCACAUGUAUUUGAGUUCAGACCGGCGUAAGCUAGGUUGGUUUCUAUCUCCUAAAAACAUUUAUCAAGUUUUUGUACUAAAAGACUAAACUUAAUUUUGAGGU
rnacentral:rRNA from 1 species